rnacentral:rRNA from 1 species
GACGAACGCUGGCGGCGUGCUUAACACAUGCAAGUCGAACGGAAAGGCCCCUUCGGGGGUACUCGAGUGGCGAACGGGUGAGUAACACGUGAGUAACCUGCCCUUGACUUCGGGAUAACUUCAGGAAACUGGGGCUAAUACCGGAUAGGAAUCCUUGCUGCAUGGAGGGGGUUGGAAAGCUUCGGCGGUUUUGGAUGGACUCGCGGCUUAUCAGCUUGUUGGUGGGGUAGUGGCUUACCAAGGCUUUGACGGGUAGCCGGCCUGAGAGGGCGACCGGCCACAUUGGGACUGAGAUACGGCCCAGACUCCUACGGGAGGCAGCAGUGGGGAAUAUUGCACAAUGGGCGGAAGCCUGAUGCAGCAACGCCGCGUGCGGGAUGACGGCCUUCGGGUUGUAAACCGCUUUCAGCAGGGGCGAAGCUUGUGGUGACGGUACCUGCAGAAGAAGCACCGGCUAACUACGUG